UUGCCAAAUUUAGCAUUCAUAUUUGUUUGUGUGUGAAAAAUACAUAGAACAAAUAUGAAUGCUAACUUUGGUCA